UAGUAUUUGCUAAUACGAUAACAUUAAAUCUGAUUGGUUUGCAUUGGUGACGUCAUAUGUAAAUUAUAUGCGGACCGUGAGACUUGCACUUGGACCAUUGUGCGGCCCACUGGGAAAAAAGUUUGAGAACCACUGCAAUACAUGCAUGCAUUACCACUAAUCUACCCACAACAUGUUUGACUGGCUGGUGUAAAAACUUUAAAGGCGUUUUUCUCAGUUUCAGUGUUUGCGUAGUUACUGAACUUUGCCUUUGUAGGGCAGUAUAGUCUAUGUGGAGAAUAAUGCACACGCACAGCAGUCAGUUAUUUAUUUAUUUAUUUAUUUUAAAAUGGCGUUUAUCGGUUUUUGCAAAUGAACUUUUCAGGUUCAGGAUACAUGUACUCCUCGCUGUAGCUACUUACUAGUUUUACAUUUACUUGAAGUGCAGUUAGGUCUGUUAUUGGGUUAUUGUCAUCCUCUGCUCCACCGUGGACCAACUGUGACCAAAGCAACUGACGUCAGUUUGAAAAUAAGUAAUGUAUCUCACCUCACUAUAAUGUGAAAAAUAAUGUUUUUAUAUGUUUUAUGUUUGUGUAAUAAGGAGGGAAGAAAUCACAUUUCAGAACAAUUAGAAUAUUUUAAAUUUUUUAAUUAUUUUAAUAUCUUGAUUUAGCCUAUCCACGGCCCCCCUGCAAUACCGCUACGGCCCACCGGGGGGCCGCGGCCCACAGUUUGGGAAGCACUGGUCUAGUUAAUUAUUAGUAUAUUUAGUAUUUAUUGAGUCUGCAUGUUGUGACUGUCUUAAUUCUAAUACAAAGAUUAUCUGGUAAAAAAUAGUUAGAUUUCUAUGCAUUCUGUGAUUAUAGACAAUGGCUGUUCUCAAUAUGCGUCCUUGUGUUUUUGCUCUACGUCAUCAUCAACCGUCGAACGCAAGAACAGAGGACACAUGAAAGUACCCGGAUGUGUUCUUGAUAUCGAGGAUGCGUCGAGUGCAGACUUGCGCGCCGAAUUCGCUUGAAGCCCCAGAAAUCAUUGCGGCAAAACAAUGGCGGAGGAAGAAAGCGCUACACAUAACUACGUUUUUAACGUUGUCUUAACAACAAAACCCCAGAUAUACAUUUACAUAUGUAACCCCUCACCCAGGUCCUACUCGCCCCGCUCUGUGCGGGCUUAAACCUUGGUCUCCGGCAUGGGAGUCGGACGCUCUAUCAAGGAGGCUAAAGGCUGCAACCUCUAGCAUCAGUCGCUAGAGCAUCUCUUGAGAUCAGAGGAGUGAGGUUUACUCGCACAGCAACUACUAGCUGGCCUCCGUUACACAAAUAUAAUUUAGAUGAGGAAAUUUGGUUGUUGACAAGUCAGGUUACAAGUUUAUGUAUUCCUCAGAACAUAACGUUAAGCGUUUUAAUUAAACUACGCUAGCUUUCAUUCUGAGGUCAUUGUAAUUAACUAACUUUAAUUCAAUUAGCUUACCUUAAACCAUGCUUAACUAACUUUUGGUUAAUCUGUUAUUUAACAAUAAAAUUUAUUUUACUAUAAAUUUGUAUUCGUUAGGGAGCAGUGAAGAGACGAGCGAAUGAAGCCCUCCUCACUGGAAAAACAAACUCAUCCAAGUCUGGCUGGGAGGUUUGUGUUAAGAACGUGGCUGUUCCAGUUACGGCUAAACAAGCAAAUAUCUGAGGGACCCACCAACAGGGAAAGGGGUAGAGGCAGGAGGAGUAACAGCUGCCACCUGACAGUGGUAUUCGGAAAUGGAUGCCGUGCUCCCGGGGCAGCAUUCGAUUAAUCCGAUUAAAUAGUGCCUGCUUCCUCCUCUGCCCCCAUCCAAUGCUGAAAGAGGCAAAGCUCUACUGAGCUCAUUGACCUUCUGCGUGAGCAGGCAGAGAGAAAUGAGGAAAGAGAGAGGCAGCUGCUAAGAGGAAGAAAGAGAGAGAAACUUGUUAAAAAGCUGUAAUAAAAUUUAGUUGAGAUGACUAUUAUGGAUUGAAUCAUUUAUUCAUUAUUAUAUUGAAUUAUUUACAAUUGCAUGAAUGAACGUGACUCACCCUGUUAUCCUACACUACAUAAAACAUGAAUAAUUGCCAGCCCAGCCACUAAUUAAUAAGACGUUUUUAAAUGUGUGUGAACAUACCUGAGAUUACAGCUGAAUACAUUAGGGUUACAUACAACACACACACACACACACACACACUCAGAAGGAAGAUGAAUUCAUUACAUUGUAAGUGAAUUAUUUAGUGGAGGACUGUCUACAUGAUGCACAGAUGUUGGCAUUGCAAACGCGUCUGCUGUCACCCGGUAAGAUGCCCCACAUGAAGGACUCGAAUCUCAUGUCUCCAGCUGUGAUGCUUUCUCCUCGUCUGAAUCUCAGUGAAGGCACUGCAUCUUCUUCAGAAAAACACACUUGUAAGACUGGCACUGGACUGUUCAGCAUAAGUGUACAUAAGCAUGUGUGUUUUUACUGUAGGCCUAAAUACAAUCAUCAUGUUUAAUAUAUGACCACACUUUAUUAUGUUGAAAUUUCAUUUUACACUUUUAAUAAAUUGUUUUCUAUGAUCAUAAUUUAGUAAUUGAAUGAGUAACAUUUACAAUAAAAAUAUUAAACUCUUAGCCUACUAAAAAAAUUAAAUGUUUUGUUUACUUGCAUUAUGUCAUAUUAUAGGUAACCAAGUUGAUAUGUUGACAAAAUAUACAAUAAAAAAAUGACAAAAUACAAUAAAAAAAUUACAAUAAAGGUCGCCUGGCGAGACCGGUUUUUGAGAAACAGCCAAUGCUGCAUGUGAACAUGACUUUUAUUUUGAAGUGACGACAUGACGUCAUAAGACUGCGCCGCGCUGCUGCAUCUGUUGUGAUUCUGCUGAAGAAAGUAAGAAGUUAAGCUGUUUUAAUCGAUAGAAACAGUUAACUCUGUUAAUGAUUCUCUUCUUAAAGAUGGCGUUUAUUAAAGAUGAGAGUGAAGACAUUAAGAUUGAGUUUAUUAAAGAUGAGACUGAAGACAUAAGGAUUGAAGAAACAUUCAGAGUGAAACAUGAAGAUACUGAGGAACAAACAGGAAGUGACAUCAUAUGGGCUCUGUGGCGACCAGGGCGGGCGAGAGCCGUGAGGGAACUGCGCGAGGCCGGUGGCGCGAGUGAUAAUGAGCUUCACCUGUGAGGCGCAGCGGCCUUGACUCCCUCACAGAGGAGCUCCGGGAGCAUAAAAGGAGGAGCGACGACAGUGAAGGACGAGAGAGGACCAGGCCUGGACUUUAUUUUAUGUUUUAUUAUGUUUGUGUGACCGGCAGACGUCCGCGAGGGUCUGCCGGCUUUACUUUCGUUUUGUUCUUUGUUUAUUUUGAAAUUAAAGUUUUGUUUAACGUUCGCCGGUUCCCGCCUCCUUCUUCCCAUACUUACUAACUGUGUUACAGGCUCUUUCUACAGCAUGAUGGGAGGACAAAUAAUCUCAAUCCAUUGUCUCAGUUUUUACACAAAUGAAUGACUGCAUUCAUCAACCCUGUUACCAAAGUUAUUGUAAGAAGAGAUUUUGCUCAAGUUGCAUUAAAAAUAAAACUUGAGCAAUAACAGUGUUGAAAACUGGAUUGAAAAUGCCUAAAUUCUGGUAACACUCCUGCAAAUUGUGAACCAGAUAUGAAACAAAUGUAAAAUAGUUAGUUUCUCAAAGGUUUCUCAAACUGAGCAUAUGUUAAAAAUGAACAUUAUGUAUCAUUGUUUUAUUGUUUCUCUAAAUAUGCAGAAGUGCUUGAAUCUAACAUGAAUGUUGUUCAGCAUCAUGAAUGAAUGAAGAAUAAACAUCAAUCUCUUUGUUCUUCAGUCGUUCAUGAUGCUGAACAACAUUCAUGAUAGAAAGAUUCAACAACACAUUUAGAUAUGCAGUUAAUCUAAUAUUCAACAAAUGGUCAGUAAAGUGAGAUUUGAAAAAUGUUCAUAUUGAUUGUCAACAUCAGGUCAAAAUACAUAAUAUUUUAUAUCUGGUUCAAAAUUUGAAACAAUGUAACCAAACUUUUUUUUUUUUUUUUUUUUCAAAAUAAAAAAAGUAGUAAUAUCAGUAAACACCAAACUGUAUCAAGGAAAUUCACUUUCCAAAAUGGCUGACAGGGUUUUAAGCUUGACUUAAGCAAAAUCUGAUUUAUUGUUAUUGAUAAAGUUGUACUUUUCAUAAAAAGUAGAAGUUAUUCAUAAAUAAAAGUUGGUGUCAAAAUAUGUCAAUAAUUGUGAUUCAUCAGCAUAUUUAAUAGUUCUCACAACAGAAACUUUUGAUUUGUCUAUUAUGUUUUAAAUAUAAUAAUUGUUUCAGGGACAUAUAAUAAAUAUAUAAAAAGGCAUUAGAAGUGAUCAGUAUAUUUCAUAGCAGUUGUCUACUUCAGUACAUGAAGGUUCACUUUUAUGUUCUUUCACUUCAUAAUCCUCAUUUUGAAUUACUUUAAUAUACUGAAAAUUAACUAUUUUUGUA